rnacentral:ncRNA from 1 species
UCUUUCUUGAUUCUAUGGGUGGUGGUGCAUGGCCGUUCUUAGUUGGUGGAGCAAUUUGUCUGGUUAAUUCUGAUAACGAACGAGACCUCAGCCUGCUAACUAGCUACGUGGAGGUUCCCCUUCGCGGCCAUCUUCUUAGAGGGACUAUGGUCGUUUAGGCCAUGGAAUUUUGAGGCAAUAACAGGUCUGUGAUGCCCUUAUAUGUUGUGGGCCGCACGCGCGCUACACUGAUGCAGUCAACGAGUUUUUCUCCCUGGUUCGAGAGGAUCGGGAAAUCUUCUCAAAUUGCAUCGUGAUGGGGAUAGACCAUUGCAA